AGUCACUGACAUUAGAUACCCGGGUAGUCCCAGCCGUAAACUAUGCGCGUUAGGUGUAUCGGUGACCACGAGUUACCGAGGUGCCGAAGGGAAACCGUGAAACGUGCCGCCUGGGAAGUACGGUCGCAAGGCUGAAACUUAAAGGAAUUGGCGGGGGAGCACCGCAACGGGAGGAGCGUGCGGUUUAAUUGGAUUCAACACCGUAAACUCACCAGGGAAGACUGUUACAUGAAGGCCGAGCUAAAGACUCUGCUAGAUUUUCAG
rnacentral:rRNA from 1 species